CGAACGCUGGCGGCGUGCUUAACACAUGCAAGUCGAGCGAUGAAGCUCCUUCGGGAGUGGAUUAGCGGCGGACGGGUGAGUAACACGUGGGUAACCUGCCUCAUACGAGGGGAAUAGCCUUUCGAAAGGAAGAUUAAUACCGCAUAAGAUUGUAGUACCGCAUGGUACAGCAAUUAAAGGAGUAAUCCGCUAUGAGAUGGGACCCGCGUCGCAUUAGCUAGUUGGUGAGGUAACGGCUCACCAAGGCGACGAUGCGUAGCCGACCUGAGAGGGUGAUCGGCCACAUUGGGACUGAGACACGGCCCAGACUCCUACGGGAGGCAGCAGUGGGGAAUAUUGCACAAUGGGGGAAACCCUGAUGCAGCCAACGCCGCGUGAGUGAUGACGGUCUUCGGAUUGUAAAGCUCUGUCUUUAGGGACGAUAAUGACGGUACCUAAGGAGGAAGCCACGGCUAACUACGUGCCAGCAGCAGC
rnacentral:rRNA from 1 species